rnacentral:rRNA from 1 species
UACGUAGGUGGCAAGCGUUGUCCGGAUUUACUGGGCGUAAAGAGCGCGCAGGCGGUCGUUCAAGUCGCGUGUGAAAGCCCCCGGCUCAACUGGGGAGGGUCACGCGAUACUGAUCGACUGGAAGGCAGGAGAGGGUAGUGGAAUUCCCGGUGUAGUGGUGAAAUGCGUAGAUAUCGGGAGGAACACCAGUGGUGAAGGCGACUACCUGGCCUGUUCUUGACGCUGAGGCGCGAAAGCUAGGGGAGCAAACGGG